rnacentral:tRNA from 1 species
CAAGUUAUAGCUAAAUAAGUAUUUUAUUUACAUUAAAGUGAUAGUUGUAAAUUCAAUUUAAUUUGA